GAUGAACGCUGGCGGCGUGCCUAAUACAUGCAAGUCGAGCGAACAGAUGAUGAGCUUGCUCCUCUGACGUUAGCGGCGGACGGGUGAGUAACACGUGGAUAACCUACCUAUAUGACUGGGAUAACUUCGGGAAACCGGAGCUACUACCGGCUAAUAUAUUGAACCGCAUGGUUCAAUAGUGAAAGACGGCUUUGCUGUCACUUAUAGAUGAAUCCGCGCCGCAUUAGCUAGUUGGUAAGGUAACGGCUUACCAAGGCGACGAUGCGUAGCCGACCUGAGAGGGUGAUCGGCCACACUGGAACUGAGACACGGUCCAGACUCCUACGGGAGGCAGCAGUAGGGAAUCUUCCGCAAUGGGCGAAAGCUUGACGGAGCAACGCCGCGUGAGUGAUGAAGGUCUUCGGAUCGUAAAGCUCUGUUAUUAGGGAAGAACAAAUGUGUAAGUAACUAUGCACGUCUUGACGGUACCUAAUCAGAAAGCCACGGCUAACUACGUG
rnacentral:rRNA from 1 species